UUUGGAAAAUAUUGGCAUAAAUGAAAUUAUAAAGAUAACUUUUCUGCAUGACAUCUUAGAGCCUCUAGUGUGCUAAGAUACAUCAUUAACACUCAAAGCGGAGAUAUAAUAUACGAUGUUUUUGACCUCAAAAGCCAGUGUUAAAGAGUAUUCUCUAUGAUUACUGUCUUCAGGUACAUACUUUGGGAUACCCUAAUCUAAUCUAACUUCUAAUCCUGUUUGGAAUUUCAUUCUUAGAGGACCAUAUUAUACCACUCACAGUAAAAACAAUAAACUAGCACACUUGUAGUCUGUGUUAUAAAAUUUACCACUUGUGUAUAUACUUUUGUAGUUUUCAUUAUUGUUUUGCCUCCCAACUAGAUUGUAACUACUUAGGCAGUACGAGUCAUGCCUGAUGCUUCCAUAUCCACCAUGGAUUUUAGCACUGUGUUGGACAUGGUAAGUAAUAAAAUAAUUACUGGUCUACUGACCUGUGCUAAAAUUAAGGAUUUCAGGUUUCCGUGGGGUAUUUAGUUGCUCUAGCAUUUUAAGAUUUGAUGAGAUAGAUAAUCCAUUUACUUUAAAUAGAACUUUCUUUUGAUUUUGUAAACUUUGAGCCUACAUCCAAUAAGCCUUUGUCUUUCUGAGCUGAUAAAUAUAAAUGUUUCUUGUAUAGGAUUAUCAGAGUACUGCCAACAUCUGGAUCUUUUUCCAGAUUUAAGUCUUUAACACAGACUCCACCUGUGUUAUAAAUGCUAGAGAGGCUUUCUUCAUGUGCAGGAAGCAGACAUGCCAGAAAAAUUUCAGCACAAAUGCCCCAUAAAUUUGAAUCUGUUCUGUUAUUCUUUCAGCACCAGUGAGGUCCUUAAUGAGACCCAACAGUUGUUCGAGUUUGACCCUGCAGGAUGAUGUUGAAAUUUUUCCAAUGUUUGGGUGGACAGAAAAUUUAGAGGAUGCUGCGCCAGUCAACAUUUCUCCCCAUUCUGGGAGGAGGAUUGAGGAAAUCCACAAGUUCAUAAGAACUUGUCUACCAGCAUUCAGAUCUUGAGAGUAUGGCCGAGUGCAAAGCUGCAUUCAUGGAAACAAAGGUUCUUACCCUGCUGGACUGGGUGGUUGGAGACUUCGCUCCUUCAGACCCCAUCACAAAGUAUGUUAGUGAAUAAAUUCUUAAAGACAAAAGGUUUUCCUGCA
rnacentral:lncRNA from 1 species